UACAGAGGGUGCAAGCGUCAUUCGGAAUUACUGGGCGUAAAGGGUGCGCAGGCGGUCCUUUAAGUCUGAUGUGAAAUCCCUGGACUCAAUUCAGGAAGUGCAUCAGAUACUGGGGGACUAGAGUAUGGGAGAGGAGGAUGGAAUUCCUGGUGUAGAGGUGAAAUUCGUAGAUAUCAGGAGGAACAACAGUGGCGAAGGCGAUUCUCUGGACCAUUACUGACGCUCAGGCACGAAAGCGUGGGGAGCAAACAGG
rnacentral:rRNA from 1 species